CCUACGGGAGACAGCAAUGAGGAAUAUUGGUCAAUGGCCGGAAGGCUGAACCAGCCAUGCCGCGUGAAGGUCAGUGCCCUAUGGGCGUUAAACUUCUUUUGUGCGGGAGCAAUAAUGGUCACGUGUGGCCAGACGAGAGUACCGUACGAAUAAGCAUCGGCUAACUCCGUGCCAGCAGCCGCGGUAAUACGGGGGAUGCAAGCGUUAUCCGGAUUUAUUGGGUUGAAAGGGUGCGUAGGCUGUGAGGUAAGUCAGCGGUGAAAUGCCCCCGCUCAACGGGGUGAAGUGCCAUUGAUACUGCCUGGCUGGAAUGCGGAUGCCGUGGGAGGAAUGUGUGGUGUAGCGGUGAAAUGCAUAGAUAUCACACAGAACACCGAUUGCGAAGGCAUCUCACGAAUCCGCGAUUGACGCUGAUGCACGAAAGCGUGGGUAUCAAACAGGAUUAGAUACCCCAGUAGUC
rnacentral:rRNA from 1 species